UUCUGGCUCAGGAUGAACGCUGGCGGCGUGCUUAACACAUGCAAGUCGAACGGAGUUUUUAAACGGAAGUUUUCGGAUGGAAGUUUAGAAACUUAGUGGCGGACGGGUGAGUAACGCGUGGGUAACCUGCCUCAUACAGGGGGAUAACAGUUAGAAAUGACUGCUAACACCGCAUAAUAUAGCGAAACCGCAUGAUUUUUGCUAUCAAAUAUUUAUAGGUAUGAGAUGGGCCCGCGUCUGAUUAGCUAGUUGGUGGGGUAAAAGCCUACCAAGGCGACGAUCAGUAGCCGGCUUGAGAGAGUGACCGGCCACAUUGGGACUGAGACACGGCCCAAACUCCUACGGGAGGCAGCAGUGGGGAAUAUUGGACAAUGGGGGAAACCCUGAUCCAGCCGACGCCGCGUGAGUGAAGAAGUAUUUCGGUAUGUAAAGCUCUAUCAGCAGGGAAGAUAAUGACAGUACCUGACUAAGAAGCCCCGGCUAACUACGUGCCAGCCGCCGC
rnacentral:rRNA from 1 species